rnacentral:rRNA from 1 species
UACGUAGGGUGCGAGCGUUGUCCGGAAUUAUUGGGCGUAAAGGGCUCGUAGGCGGUCUGUUGCGUCAGGAGUGAAAACUCGGGGCUUAACCCCGAGCCUGCUUCUGAUACGGGCAGACUAGAGGUAUGCAGGGGAGAACGGAAUUCCUGGUGUAGCGGUGAAAUGCGUAGAUAUCUGGAGGAACACCGGUGGCGAAGGCGGCAUCCUGGACCAACACUGACGCUGAGUGAGCGAAAGCCAGGGGAGCAAACGGG